UGCAUUAAGAGCUUCAAAUUGGUUGUUCAUGGUGGUUGGAGUAUUGAUGACAAUGACAAUCUUGUAAUUACUUGAAGAUGAUGAGGGUGAGAGAGUAAAAAAUUUAUUUUCGGAAAAAAAAAAUAUUUGAUGGCAUUUUCGUGAAUUAUAUGAACUUGUGGGGUGAAUAGGGUAAAACCAAUUUCCAAAAAAAAAAGGUUAGUUUUGUGUUUGAAUUUGAAUUCUAUGUCAAUUUUGCAAAAAAUCCUAAAAAUUAUUGUAUUACUAGUGGUGUUUCCGCGUUACGCGCGGGGCGUUUGUCUAUUGUUUUUAUAAAUAUUUUUUUAUGUUGUACAAUUUUUUAUUAUGGAGAUUAGUAUUUUGUGUUUUAAUUCUUCAUGAAAUUAGCAGACAACAUUUUGCCAUAUGUGCUGAUGAUGAGCUCGUUGUGGUUUGAGUAGUGAAUAUAUAUUUAACUUAGAGAACAUAAAUAUACUAUUAAUAAGUAUUAUUUCGAUAGCACAUAAUAUUUACUGCAUUUUAAAUUUUGUUACUGAGAUUACACUGAAUUAAAACGUUUCAAAUGAAAUAUGCGAACAUUAUGUGAAUUUUACACUGAAUUUGUUCAGGAUGAUCAAACAUGAUGAAUGUUAUUAUUGUAUCGAGGGAUGUGUCCACUCUUUGGACGGAAAUUAAUUAAUUAUUUAAGUUUUUCAUUUCACAAAUGUCUAAUAUGGAUGUUACUUUUUUUUUUAAUUUUGUAUCAAUCAAUUAUUCUUAUAUGAACUUUUUUUAU
rnacentral:lncRNA from 1 species